AUUGAACGCUGGCGGCAGGCCUAACACAUGCAAGUCGAACGAGUGGCGGACGGGUGAGUAAUGUCUGGGAAAAUGCACGAUGGAGGGGGAUAACUACUGGAAACGGUAGCUAAUACCGCAUACCAUCGGAUGUGCCCCGAGGGGAUUAGCUAGUAGGUGGGGUAACGGCUCACCUAGGCGACGAUCCAUAGCGGGUCUGAGAGGGUGACCAGCCACACUGGCACUGAGCCCCGUGCCAGCCUCCUACGUGAGUCAGCAUUGGGGAAUUUUGCACAAUGGGCUCAAGCCUGAUGCAGCCAUGACGCGUGUAUGAAGAAGUCCUUCGGGUUGUAAAGUACUUUCAGCGAGGAGGCGUUACUCGCAGAAGAAGCACCGGCUAACUCCGUGCCAGCAGCCGCGGUAAUUC
rnacentral:rRNA from 1 species